rnacentral:rRNA from 1 species
UACGUAGGGGCAAGCGUUGUCCGGAAUCAUUGGGCGUAAAGAGCGUGUAGGCGGCCCGGUAAGUCCGCUGUGAAAGUCCAGGGCUCAACCCUGGGAUGCCGGUGGAUACUGUCGGGCUCGAGUCCGGAAGAGGAGUGUGGAAUUCCUGGUGUAGCGGUGAAAUGCGCAGAUAUCAGGAGGAACACCAGUGGCGAAGGCGGCA